rnacentral:tRNA from 1 species
GAAGCGUUACUUCGGUAGAACGUUUGAUUGGUAAUCAAAAGGACGUGGGUUCAAUUCCCACCCAGAGGCUUCG